UACGUAGGGUCCGAGCGUUGUCCGGAGUUACUGGGCGUAAAGCGCGCGCAGGCGGCGGUGUUGGCCCGGCGUGAAAGCCCCCGGCUCAACCGGGGAGGGUCGUCGGGGACCGCACCGCUUGAGGGCGGUAGGGGCUGGUGGAAUGCCUGGUGUAGUGGUGAAAUGCGUAGAGAUCAGGCGGAACACCCGUAGCGAAGGCGGCCAGCUGGGCCGUCCCUGACGCUGAGGCGCGAAGGCGUGGGGAGCGAACAGG
rnacentral:rRNA from 1 species